GAAACAGACUCUACAAUGUAGCACAGUUGAUUAACCUCAGCUCUUUCUUGAAAGCUUGAGAGCGUUAUGUAUCCUUUUUAAGUCUGCUUGUCAAGGAUUUAAUUUUAAUAUAUGCUUAAAGUUCUCAGAGCUUGUCAUCAGAAUAUUGAUUUACUAUUUUUCAGUGUAAUAAAAGCCAAACUAGAAAUGAGUUAUAAGUAUUGGGAAAGAAAAGGCUGUUUUCAUUAGUGCAGAUGAUAGUCCAAGUUGAAUGCUCGGGAAUCUGGACUUGAAAUUAAUAAGACAUUAGCAAAUUUCGCCACACAUGCAAAAACCAGUUUUUCCAUAUUCAAGC
rnacentral:lncRNA from 1 species